rnacentral:rRNA from 1 species
GAUGAACGCUGGCGGCGUGCCUAAUACAUGCAAGUCGAGCGAACAGAUGAGGAGCUUGCUCCUCUGACGUUAGCGGCGGACGGGUGAGUAACACGUGGAUAACCUACCUAUAAGACUGGGAUAACUUCGGGAAACCGGAGCUAAUACCGGAUAAUAUAUUGAACCGCAUGGUUCAAUAGUGAAAGACGGUUUUGCUGUCACUUAUAGAUGGAUCCGCGCCGCAUUAGCUAGUUGGUAAGGUAACGGCUUACCAAGGCAACGAUGCGUAGCCGACCUGAGAGGGUGAUCGGCCACACUGGAACUGAGACACGGUCCAGACUCCUACGGGAGGCAGCAGUAGGGAAUCUUCCGCAAUGGGCGAAAGCCUGACGGAGCAACGCCGCAUGAGUGAUGAAGGUCUUCGGAUCGUAAAACUCUGUUAUUAGGGAAGAACAAAUGCGUAAGUAACUAUGCACGUCUUGACGGUACCUAAUCAGAAAGCCACGGCUAACUACGUG